AUUGAACGCUGGCGGCAUGCCUUACACAUGCAAGUCGAACGGUAACAGGUCUUCGGAUGCUGACGAGUGGCGAACGGGUGAGUAAUACAUCGAAACGUGCCUAGUAGUGGGGGAUAACUACUCGAAAGAGUGGCUAAUACCGCAUGAGAUCUACGGAUGAAAGCAGGGGAUCGCAAGACCUUGUGCUACUAGAGCGGCCGAUGGCAGAUUAGGUAGUUGGUGGGAUAAAAGCUUACCAAGCCGACGAUCUGUAGCUGGUCUGAGAGGACGAUCAGCCACACUGGGACUGAGACACGGCCCAGACUCCUACGGGAGGCAGCAGUGGGGAAUUUUGGACAAGGGGCGCAAGCCUGAUCCAGAAGUGCCGCAUGCAGGAUGAAGGACUUCGGGUUGUAAACUGCUUUUGUACGGAACGAAAAGCCCUGGGUUAAGACCCUAGGGUAAUGACGGUACCGUAAGAAUAAGCACCGGCUAACUACGUGCCAGCCGCCGCCGUAA
rnacentral:rRNA from 1 species